rnacentral:rRNA from 1 species
GAAUGGCUCAUUAUAUAAGUUAUCGUUUAUUUGAUAGUACCUUACUACUUGGAUAACCGUGGUAAUUCUAGAGCUAAUACAUGCUACCAAUCCCGACUCCGGAAGGGAUGUAUUUAUUAGAUUAAAAACCAAUGCCCUCUGGGCUCCUUGGUGAUUCAUGAUAACUCUUCGAAUCGCAUGGCCUUGCGCCGGCGAUGGUUCAUUCAAAUUUCUUCCCUAUCAACUUUCGAUGUUUGGGUAUUGGCCAAACAUGGUCGCAACGGGUAACGGAGGGUUAGGGCUCGACCCCGGAGAAGGAGCCUGAGAAACGGCUACUACAUCCAAGGAAGGCAGCAGGCGCGCAAAUUACCCAAUCCCGACACGGGGAGGUAGUGACAAUAAAUACUGAUACAGGGCUCUUUUGGGUCUUGUAAUUGGAAUGAGUACAAUUUAAACCCCUUAACGAGGAACAAUUGGAGGGCAAGUCUGGUGCCAGCAGCCGCGGUAAUUCCAGCUCCAAUAGCGUAUAUUAAAGUUGUUGUGGUUAAAAAGCUCGUAGUUGAACCUUGGGCCUGGCUGGCCGGUCCGCCUCACCGCGUGCACUGGUCCGGCCGGGCCUUUCCCUCUGCGGAGCCCCAUGCCCUUCGCUGGGCGUGGCGGGGAAGCAGGACUUUUACUUUGAAAAAAUUAGAGUGCUCCAGGCAGGCCUAUGCUCAAAUACAUUAGCAUGGAAUAAUAAAGUAGGACGCGCGGUUCUAUUUUGUUGGUUUCUAGGACCGCCGUAAUGAUGAAUAGGGACAGUCGGGGGCAUCAGUAUUCAAUCGUCAGAGGUGAAAUUCUUGGAUUGAUUGAAGACUAACUACUGCGAAACCAUUUGCCAAGGAUGUUUUCAUUAAUCAGGAACGAAAGUUAGGGGAUCGAAGACGAUCAGAUACCGUCGUAGUCUUAACCAUAAACUAUGCCGACUAGGGAUCGG